rnacentral:rRNA from 1 species
UACGUAGGGGGCAAGCGUUGUCCGGAAUCAUUGGGCGUAAAGCGCGCGUAGGCGGCCCGGUAAGUCCGCUCUGAAAGUCCAGGGCUCAACCCCGGAAUUGCCUUUAAAACUGCAUCGCUAGAAUUGUGGAGAGGUAAGUGGAAUUCCGAGUGUAGAGGUGAAAUUCGUAGAUAUUCGGAAGAACACCAGUGGCGAAGGCGACUUACUGGACACAUAUUGACGCUGAGGUGCGAAAGCGUGGGGAGCAAACAGG